GACGAACGCUGGCGGCGUGCUUAACACAUGCAAGUCGAACGGAAAGGCCCUGCUUUUGUGGGGUGCUCGAGUGGCGAACGGGUGAGUAACACGUGAGUAACCUGCCCUUGACUUUGGGAUAACUUCAGGAAACUGGGGCUAAUACCGGAUAGGAGCUCCUGCUGCAUGGUGGGGGUUGGAAAGUUUCGGCGGUUGGGGAUGGACUCGCGGCUUAUCAGCUUGUUGGUGGGGUAGUGGCUUACCAAGGGUUUGACGGGUAGCCGGCCUGGGAGGGUGAACGGCGACCUUGGGACUAAGGGACGGACCAGACGCCUACGGGGGGCAGCAGUGGGGAGUAUUGCCCAGUGAGCGGGAGUCUGAUGAAGCGACCCCGCGUGUGUGAUGACGGCCUUCGGGUUGUAAACCGCUUUCGCCUAUGACGUAGCGUGAGUGACGGUAAUGAGUAAAGAAGCACCGGCUAACUACGUG
rnacentral:rRNA from 1 species